UCCCAUUCCGAACAGAGAAGUUAAGACCGCUUGCGCCGAUGGUACUGCAUUUCGUGGGAGAGUAGGUCGCCGCCUUUU
rnacentral:rRNA from 1 species